ensembl:snRNA U1 U1 spliceosomal RNA
AUACUUACCUGGCAGGGAGACACCGUGAUCACGAAGGUGGUUUUCCUGGGUCGAGGCUUAUCCAUUGCACCCGGGAUGCGCCGACCUGUGUGAUCUCCCCGAAUGUGGGAAACUCGACUGCAUGAUUUGUGGUAGUGGGGGGACUGCGUUCGCACUUUCCCCUG